ACGCUCGACACCUACGGGAGGCAGCAGUGGGGAAUAUUGCACAAUGGGGGAAACCCUGAUGCAGCGACGCCGCGUGAGCGAAGAAGUAUUUCGGUAUGUAAAGCUCUAUCAGCAGGGAAGAAAGUGACGGUACCUGACUAAGAAGCACCGGCUAAAUACGUGCCAGUAGCCGCGGUAAUCUGAGCGGGCUGGCAAGGC
rnacentral:rRNA from 1 species